CGUCGACGGGUACGGCUCCAUGAAGGGCCUCAUCCGCCUCCGCUCCCAGGCCGCCGACGCCGGUGGCCUCCCCGGCGAGGACUCCGGAUCCGGCGAGAGCGACGUGGAGGAGCACGUCGAGGUGGAGCGCCGCCUCGACCACGACCUCAGCCGCUUCGAGAUGGUGCAGCUCCCCGUCGCGGCCGGCGACUGCGAGGACGACGAAGACGACGACGACGGCGACGAGGCCCGCACCGCGCGGCUGGAGGAGGAGAACCUGACCCUGCGCGAGCGGCUGUUCCUGAUGGAGCGCG
rnacentral:misc_RNA from 1 species